rfam:Aedes aegypti strain Liverpool supercont1.15 genomic scaffold, whole genome shotgun sequence.
UGCCCAGCAACUCCUAUCCCUACCUCCUCGCGGUACUGGCCGGGGUACGAGUAACCUUAGGGAAGAUCGGGUAACCAACCCCCGGUGGGAACUUUGGGCGUAUGCUGACAGGGAAGG